AUGCUCCUAGUCUUACAGGAGUUAGAGAGACAGGAAAGGAUAGCUCUAUUAUAGAAAUAUCUGCAUAUUCUAGGAAUGUAAGUUAAGAAGAUAUUAUGUCUUUCUAAGUUAGCAACCAGCAGAAAUGCACAGAGAUGUUCUUUUGGUUGUAUAAGGAGCUUUAUGGGUCAGGAUUCGAGAGAGAACACAGGUGAUUUUACAAGGGAACUACUAAAGGCUCCCUUACCAGCAAAAUAGAGAGGCUAAAGUUCUGUCUAUGCAAGAGUGCAUUGAUGAGAACUUGUCCAAGUGGAUGAAGAGAGGUGCUCUGCAGGACUCUGUGCUCACCAACAGAGAGGUGCUCCCUGGGAAUGUAAGCCUCAAAGGUUCUCUUGCAUGCACUUUUUUAACUGGGAAGAUGGAAAUAUGAGCUUUGCAACACCUGCGUGCAGCCAUGCCUAAUCGAAUCGCGUAGAACGGG
ensembl:lncRNA